rnacentral:rRNA from 1 species
UACGUAGGGGGCAAGCGUUGUCCGGAUUCAUUGGGCGUAAAGAGCGUGUAGGCGGCCAGGUAGGUCGGUUGUGAAAACUGGAGGCUCAACCUUCAGACGUCGACCGAAACCAUCUGGCUAGAGUCCGGGAGAGGAGAGUGGAAUUCCUGGUGUAGCGGUGAAAUGCGCAGAUAUCGGGAAGAACCCCCGUGGCGAAGGCGGUUCUCUGGGACGGUACUGACGCUGAGACGCGAAAGCGUGGGGAGCGAACAGG